ACUGAUUCAUUAUUUGGUUUCUACACAUUUAAAGAAUAUUGAUUAUUGUCCAUGAAAAAUGACAUGUUUGUAGUUGAAUUUGUGUGGCAGCUGGGAUAAAGUGAGUUGUUGUUUUUCAAAGCAACUCAGUUUUAAAAGUAAACAAAAGUGAACUCUUCCAUUUGCUAUGACAUCAUCAGGACAUCAAAGGACAGCAUCGGCAGUUGGAGGGUACACAGCUCCAUGAUCAUUUCUUCACCACCCUGGGUAGAGUUCAAAACUGAGAGGCGACCUAAGGCAUUACAGAAGAAGGCCGAGUUGAAAAUGGAGGAAAAAAAUGAGAAAGACAUGGAAAAGAGCGAGAAAAAGGAGAAACAAAAACAGGAAGAGGAGGAGAAAAAAGAGAAAUGGGAGAGGAAGGAGAGAGAACAACAAAAGGAGGCAUCUGAGGAAGGAUGAGGACGGGACAGAGCGCAAAAAGUCACCGCUGGAGGCAUAGCUGAGGAAGAGACAACAACCAGGUAACAGAGCAGUUUACACUGCAGCAGGUCACUCACACAAAGGUAGAACACCACAUAGAUACCCACCCUAAAUUAAAAAUCGGGAGACUAGAAAUAAUAUUUAAGAAACCCAAUCGGAUGCAACAAGAGAGCAGCUAAAAAAAAAAACAACUUAGAGAACAAAAUGGAGGGAAAUAAA